rnacentral:rRNA from 1 species
AGAGUUUGAUCCUGGCUCAGAGCGAACGCUGGCGGCACGCCUAACACAUGCAAGUCGAGCGAGAAAGUGACUUCGGUCGCGAGUAAAGCGGCGAACGGGUGAGUACAACGUGGAUAAUCUACCCUAAGGUCUGGGACAACCCCGAGAAAUCGGGGCUAAUACCGGAUAAGACCACAGUAUCCAAGGAUACAGCGGUAAAAGAUUUAUCGCCUUUGGAUGAGUCCACGCCCCAUCAGGUAGUUGGUAAGGUAAAGGCUUACCAAGCCUAAGACGGGUAGCCGGCCUUAGCGGGUGAACGGCCACAUGGGGACUGAGACACGGCCCUGACUCCUACGGGAGGCAGCAGUGGGGAAUAUUGGGCAAUGGGCGAAAGCCUGACCCAGCGAUGCCGCGUGAGGGAUGAAGGCCUUCGGGUUGUAAACCUCUGUCAGGAGGGACGAUGGGACUUUGUCUUGACGGUACCUCCAGAGGAAGCCCCGGCUAACUCCGUGCCAGCAGCCGCGGCCAAUACCGGAGG